AUUGAACGCUGGCGGCAUGCCUUACACAUGCAAGUCGAACGGCAGCACGGGGGCAACCCUGGUGGCGAGUGGCGAACGGGUGAGUAAUGCAUCGGAACGUACCCGGAAGUGGGGGAUAACGUAGCGAAAGUUACGCUAAUACCGCAUAUUCUGUGAGCAGGAAAGCAGGGGAUCGCAAGACCUUGCGCUUUCGGAGCGGCCGAUGUCGGAUUAGCUAGUUGGUGGGGUAAAGGCUUACCAAGGCGACGAUCCGUAGCUGGUCUUAGAGGAUGAUCAGCCACACUGGGACUGAGACACGGCCCAGACUCCUACGGGAGGCAGCAGUGGGGAAUUUUGGACAAUGGGGGCAACCCUGAUCCAGCCAUGCCGCGUGAGUGAAGAAGGCCUUCGGGUUGUAAAGCUCUUUCGGACGGAAAGAAAUCGCCAUCUCUAACAUAGGUGGUGGAUGACGGUACCGUCAUAAGAAGCACCGGCUAACUACGUGCCAGCCGCCGCCGUAA
rnacentral:rRNA from 1 species